AGAAUACUCCUCCGUCCCAAAAUUCAUGUCUUAGAUUUGUCUAAAUACGGAUGUAUCAAGUCACGUUUUAGUAUUAGAUACAUCCGUAUCUAGACAAAUCUAAGACAAGAAUUUUGGAACGGAGGGAGUACUAG
rfam:Triticum aestivum genome assembly, contig: Triticum_aestivum_CS42_TGACv1_scaffold_322321_4BL